AUUGAACGCUGGCGGCAGGCCUAACACAUGCAAGUCGAACGAGUGGCGGACGGGUGAGUAAUGUCUGGGAAACUGCCCGAUGGAGGGGGAUAACUACUGGAAACGGUAGCUAAUACCGCAUACCAUCAGAUGUGCCCAGAUGGGAUUAGCUGGUAGGUGGGGUAACGGCUCACGUAGGCGACGAUCCCUAGCUGGUCAGAGAGGAUGACCAGCCACACUGGAACUGAGAAACGGCCCAGACUCCUACGGGAGGCAGCAGUGGGGAAUAUUACACAAUGGGCGCAAGCCUGAUGCAGCCAUGCCGCGUGUGUGAAGAAGGCCUUCGGGUUGUAAAGCACGUUCAGCGGGGAGGCGUUACCCGAAGAAGAAGCACCGGCUAACUCCGUGCCAGCAGCCGCGGUAAUAC
rnacentral:rRNA from 1 species